CAUGCAAGUCGAACGAGAACUCCGAUGCUUGCAUUGGAGGGAGAGUGGCGAACGGGUGAGUAACACGUGGAUUAUCUGCCUUCAGGUUGGGGAUAACCACCCGAAAGGGUGGCUAAUACCGAAUAAUAUGGCAACAUUAAAGGUGGGGACUUUCGAGCCUAUCGCCUGAAGAUGAGUCCGCGGCCCAUUAGCUCGUUGGUAGGGUAAUGGCCUACCAAUGCUACGAUGGGUAGCCGGCCUGAGAGGGUGACCGGCCACAUUGGGACUGAGACACGGCCCAGACUCCUACGGGAGGCAGCAGUUAAGAAUCUUGCGCAAUGGGCGAAAGCCUGACGCAGCGACGCCGCGUGGACGAUGAAGGCCUUCGGGUUGUAAAGUCCAGUAAGCAGGGAAGAAUAAGUAGAAACUAAUAUUUUCUACGAUGACGGUACCUGCCUAAAGCCCCGGCUAACUACGUGCCAGCAGCCGCGGUAAUACGUAUGGGGCAAGCGUUGUUCGGAAUUAUUGGGCAUAAAGGGCGUCUAGGCGGGGGAUUAAGUUGGGUGUGAAAGCCACAGGCUCAACCUGUGAAUUGCACCCAAAACUGAUUCUCUUGAGUCCGGGAGAGGAGAGCGGAAUUCCAGGUGUAGCGGUGAAAUGCGUAGAUAUCUGGAAGAACACCAGUGGCGAAGGCGGCUCUCUGGCCUAGGACUGACGCUAAAGCGCGAAAGCGUGGGGAGCGAACGGGAUUAGAUACCCCGGUAGUCCACGCUGUAAACGGUUGUGUACUAGGUGUACGUGGCUUGAUCACUUGUGCCGAAGCU
rnacentral:rRNA from 1 species